UACGUAGGGUGCAAGCGUUAAUCGGAAUUACUGGGCGUAAAGCGUGCGCAGGCGGCUUUGCAAGACAGAUGUGAAAUCCCCGGGCUUAACCUGGGAACUGCAUUUGUGACUGCAUGGCUGGAGUGCGGCAGAGGGGAUGGAAUUCCGCGUGUAGCGGUGAAAUGCGCAGAUAUCAGGAAGAACACCCGUGGCGAAGGCGGCUCUCUGGGACGGUACUGACGCUGAGACGCGAAAGCGUGGGGAGCGAACAGG
rnacentral:rRNA from 1 species